UUAAGCGACUAAGCGUACACGGUGGAUGCCCUGGCAGUCAGAGGCGAUGAAGGACGUGCUAAUCUGCGAUAAGCGUCGGUAAGGUGAUAUGAACCGUUAUAACCGGCGAUUUCCGAAUGGGGAAACCCAGUGUGAUUCGUCACACUAUCAUUAACUGAAUCCAUAGGUUAAUGAGGCGAACCGGGGGAACUGAAACAUCUAAGUACCCCGAGGACAAGAAGUCAACCGAGAUUCCCCCAGUAGCGGCGAGCGAACGGGGAGCAGCCCAGAGCCUGAAUCAGUGUGUGUGUUAGUGGAAGCGUCUGGAAAGGCGUGCGAUACAGGGUGACAGCCCCGUACACAAAAAUGCACAUACUGUGAGCUCGAUGAGUAGGGCGGGACACGUGGUAUCCUGUCUGAAUAUGGGGGGACCAUCCUCCAAGGCUAAAUACUCCUGACUGACCGAUAGUGAACCAGUACCGUGAGGGAAAGGCGAAAAGAACCCCGGCGAGGGGAGUGAAAAAGAACCUGAAACCGUGUACGUACAAGCAGUGGGAGCACGCUUAGGCGUGUGACUGCGUACCUUUUGUAUAAUGGGUCAGCGACUUAUAUUCUGUAGCAAGGUUAACCGAAUAGGGGAGCCGAAGGGAAACCGAGUCUUAACUGGGCGUUAAGUUGCAGGGUAUAGACCCGAAACCCGGUGAUCUAGCCAUGGGCAGGUUGAAGGUUGGGUAACACUAACUGGAGGACCGAACCGACUAAUGUUGAAAAAUUAGCGGAUGACUUGUGGCUGGGGGUGAAAGGCCAAUCAAACCGGGAGAUAGCUGGUUCUCCCCGAAAGCUAUUUAGGUAGCGCCUCGUGAAUUCAUCUCCGGGGGUAGAGCACUGUUUCGGCAAGGGGGUCAUCCCGACUUACCAACCCGAUGCAAACUGCGAAUACCGGAGAAUGUUAUCACGGGAGACACACGGCGGGUGCUAACGUCCGUCGUGAAGAGGGAAACAACCCAGACCGCCAGCUAAGGUCCCAAAGUCAUGGUUAAGUGGGAAACGAUGUGGGAAGGCCCAGACAGCCAGGAUGUUGGCUUAGAAGCAGCCAUCAUUUAAAGAAAGCGUAAUAGCUCACUGGUCGAGUCGGCCUGCGCGGAAGAUGUAACGGGGCUAAACCAUGCACCGAAGCUGCGGCAGCGACGCUUAUGCGUUGUUGGGUAGGGGAGCGUUCUGUAAGCCUGUGAAGGUGUACUGUGAGGUAUGCUGGAGGUAUCAGAAGUGCGAAUGCUGACAUAAGUAACGAUAAAGCGGGUGAAAAGCCCGCUCGCCGGAAGACCAAGGGUUCCUGUCCAACGUUAAUCGGGGCAGGGUGAGUCGACCCCUAAGGCGAGGCCGAAAGGCGUAGUCGAUGGGAAACAGGUUAAUAUUCCUGUACUUGGUGUUACUGCGAAGGGGGGACGGAGAAGGCUAUGUUGGCCGGGCGACGGUUGUCCCGGUUUAAGCGUGUAGGCUGGUUUUCCAGGCAAAUCCGGAAAAUCAAGGCCGAGGCGUGAUGACGAGGCACUACGGUGCUGAAGCAACAAAUGCCCUGCUUCCAGGAAAAGCCUCUAAGCAUCAGGUAACAUCAAAUCGUACCCCAAACCGACACAGGUGGUCAGGUAGAGAAUACCAAGGCGCUUGAGAGAACUCGGGUGAAGGAACUAGGCAAAAUGGUGCCGUAACUUCGGGAGAAGGCACGCUGAUACGUAGGUGAAGCGACUUGCUCGUGGAGCUGAAAUCAGUCGAAGAUACCAGCUGGCUGCAACUGUUUAUUAAAAACACAGCACUGUGCAAACACGAAAGUGGACGUAUACGGUGUGACGCCUGCCCGGUGCCGGAAGGUUAAUUGAUGGGGUUAGCGCAAGCGAAGCUCUUGAUCGAAGCCCCGGUAAACGGCGGCCGUAACUAUAACGGUCCUAAGGUAGCGAAAUUCCUUGUCGGGUAAGUUCCGACCUGCACGAAUGGCGUAAUGAUGGCCAGGCUGUCUCCACCCGAGACUCAGUGAAAUUGAACUCGCUGUGAAGAUGCAGUGUACCCGCGGCAAGACGGAAAGACCCCGUGAACCUUUACUAUAGCUUGACACUGAACAUUGAGCCUUGAUGUGUAGGAUAGGUGGGAGGCUUUGAAGUGUGGACGCCAGUCUGCAUGGAGCCGACCUUGAAAUACCACCCUUUAAUGUUUGAUGUUCUAACGUGGACCCGUGAUCCGGGUUGCGGACAGUGUCUGGUGGGUAGUUUGACUGGGGCGGUCUCCUCCUAAAGAGUAACGGAGGAGCACGAAGGUUGGCUAAUCCUGGUCGGACAUCAGGAGGUUAGUGCAAUGGCAUAAGCCAGCUUGACUGCGAGCGUGACGGCGCGAGCAGGUGCGAAAGCAGGUCAUAGUGAUCCGGUGGUUCUGAAUGGAAGGGCCAUCGCUCAACGGAUAAAAGGUACUCCGGGGAUAACAGGCUGAUACCGCCCAAGAGUUCAUAUCGACGGCGGUGUUUGGCACCUCGAUGUCGGCUCAUCACAUCCUGGGGCUGAAGUAGGUCCCAAGGGUAUGGCUGUUCGCCAUUUAAAGUGGUACGCGAGCUGGGUUUAGAACGUCGUGAGACAGUUCGGUCCCUAUCUGCCGUGGGCGCUGGAGAACUGAGGGGGGCUGCUCCUAGUACGAGAGGACCGGAGUGGACGCAUCACUGGUGUUCGGGUUGUCAUGCCAAUGGCACUGCCCGGUAGCUAAAUGCGGAAGAGAUAAGUGCUGAAAGCAUCUAAGCACGAAACUUGCCCCGAGAUGAGUUCUCCCUGACCCUUUAAGGGUCCUGAAGGAACGUUGAAGACGACGACGUUGAUAGGCCGGGUGUGUAAGCGCAGCGAUGCGUUGAGCUAACCGGUACUAAUGAACCGUGAGGCUUAACCUU
rnacentral:rRNA from 1 species